AGAGUUUGAUCCUGGCUCAGGAUGAACGCUGGCGGCGUGCCUAACACAUGCAAGUCGAACGGAGUUUUAUGAAGUUUUCGGACGGAUUAAAACUUAGUGGCGGACGGGUGAGUAACGCGUGGGUAACCUGCCUCAUACAGGGGGAUAACAGUUGGAAACGACUGCUAAAACCGCAUAACAUUGCGACACCGCAUGGUGAUGCAAUUAAAUAUUUAUAGGUAUGAGAUGGGCCCGCGUCUGAUUAGCUAGUUGGUAGGGUAACGGCCUACCAAGGCGACGAUCAGUAGCCGGCUUGAGAGAGUGACCGGCCACAUUGGGACUGAGACACGGCCCAAACUCCUACGGGAGGCAGCAGUGGGGAAUAUUGCACAAUGGGGGAAACCCUGAUGCAGCGACGCCGCGUGAGUGAAGAAGUAUUUCGGUAUGUAAAGCUCUAUCAGCAGGGAAGAAAAUGACGGUACCUGACUAAGAAGCCCCGGCUAACUACGUGCCAGCAGCCGCGGUAAUACGUAGGGGGCAAGCGUUAUCCGGAUUUACUGGGUGUAAAGGGAGCGUAGGUGGUUCGGCAAGUCAGAUGUGAAAGCCCGGGGCUCAACCCCGGGACUGCAUUUGAAACUGUCGGACUAGAGUGCAGGAGAGGUAAGUGGAAUUCCUAGUGUAGCGGUGAAAUGCGUAGAUAUUAGGAGGAACACCAGUGGCGAAGGCGGCUUACUGGACUGUAACUGACACUGAGGCUCGAAAGCGUGGGGAGCGAACAGGAUUAGAUACCCUGGUAGUCCACGCUGUAAACGAUGAAUACU
rnacentral:rRNA from 1 species